rnacentral:rRNA from 1 species
CAGUAGCCACGGGAAUACGAAGGGGGCUAGCGUUGCUCGGAAUCACUGGGCGUAAAGGGUGCGUAGGCGGGUCUUUAAGUCAGGGGUGAAAUCCUGGAGCUCAACUCCAGAACUGCCUUUGAUACUGAAGAUCUUGAGUUCGGGAGAGGUGAGUGGAACUGCGAGUGUAGAGGUGAAAUUCGUAGAUAUUCGGAAGAACACCAGUGGCGAAGGCGGCUCACUGGACGACUGUUGACGCUGAGGUACGAAAGCGUGGGGAGCAAACAGGAUUAGAUACCCCCGUAGUCCCUGUCUCUUAUAC